CCCCCGACCGUCUUUCUUCUCACGGAGAAGGAGAGAGGGCGCUUCUCCGCCCUGCCACAGCGAAGAUAGAGUCCCUUCGCUUAUAAGCCAAACAACUCCUCCCCCCAACGCCCUCAUCAGAUCUCUCGCUCUCCUCUUCCAGAAGAUUGAUCUCCAUCUCUUCGAUGGAGAACGCCUACGCUAAAUCCAUCGCCGAGGUUCUUGAAGCAUUUGGUGUAGAUCCGGCCAAGGGCCUUACGGAUGCUCAGGUUGCUGAACAUGCGCAGAUAUACGGCAGAAACGUGCUGCCCCAAGAAGAAAGUACUCCCCUCUGGAAUUAAUUUUGAAGCAAUUCGAUGAUUUGCUUGUUAAAAUAUUGAUAGUAGCUGCCAUUGUUUCAUUCCUUUUGGCUCUGGUUAAUGGCGAGACAGGCCUAACAGCAUUUCUCGAACCUUCUGUAAGCGAAAUGAUUCUUCUAAAUUUUGC